GAUGAACGCUAGCGGCAGGCCUAACACAUGCAAGUCGAGGGGUAGAACACUUCGGUGUUUGAGACCGGCGCACGGGUGCGUAACGCGUAUGCAAUCUACCUUGUACAGGGGAAUAGCCCAGAGAAAUUUGGAUUAAUGCCCCAUAGUAUAUAACCUUGCAUGUUGGUUAUAUUAAAGUUCCAACGGUACAAGAUGAGAAUGCGUCCCAUUAGUUAGUUGGUAAGGUAACGGCUUACCAAGACGAUGAUGGGUAGGGGUCCUGAGAGGGAGAUCCCCCACACUGGUACUGAGACACGGACCAGACUCCUACGGGAGGCAGCAGUGAGGAAUAUUGGUCAAUGGGCGCAAGCCUGAACCAGCCAUGCCGCGUGCAGGAAGACGGUCCUAUGGAUUGUAAACUGCUUUUAUACAGGAAGAAACCCUCCCACGUGUGGGAGAUUGACGGUACUGUAGGAAUAAGGAUCGGCUAACUCCGUGCCAGCCGCCGCGGUAAGAC
rnacentral:rRNA from 1 species